ACUACUAAUUUUGGAUUUCCUUUCCCUUGGAUCAUUAUAAAAAUUCAGGAAGCUCUGGCCACGUGUCACUAGCUACGCACCGUAGACAACGAAUAGCCGUUCCGCUACGCCGCAGUUACGGUGUUGACGCAGUCGUGGUCAAACUUGCCACAUAUUUGGUGUUUUGCUGAUGUACAUCAGGUGACCACGUUAUUUAACAGGGAUCUAUAACAACGCUUUCAAUCGUUGAAGCGAUCAGUGGGUAAAGAUAAUUAAAGGGAUCAGUGCGCCAUCAGGAUUGUUGUCACCUUGAUCUGUGGUGAGAUAUGGCGGCCUUAGAUAGAACAGCCAUUCUGCGCCUCUACACUCUCCCUGUAGUUAUGAUGCUCGGCCUUCCUCGUGCCCACAGUGACCAAUAUCCAGAUGUGAAUAUAUUUUUAGGCGAUGCUCAAGUCAUUCGAGAUUGGUGCUAUUACGAAAACCGUACCUUCAAUAAACCCUUGUACCUGGCGGAACCAGAAUGCAAGGUGCUGACAUGUCUUCCUAAAGAAAAGAAAGUGGAAGUAAUGCA